rnacentral:rRNA from 1 species
UACGUAGGGUGCAAACGUUGUCCGGAAUUAUUGGGCGUAAAGAGCUCGUAGGCGGUCUGUCGCGUCGGCUGUGAAAACCCGAGGCUCAACCUCGGGCCUGCAGUCGAUACGGGCAAACUAGAGUACUGCAGGGGAGACUGGAAUUCCUGGUGUAGCGGUGAAAUGCGCAGAUAUCAGGAGGAACACCGGUGGCGAAGGCGGGUCUCUGGGCAGUAACUGACGCUGAGGAGCGAAAGCGUGGGGAGCGAACAGG